GCCGAGGUGGCGAAAUAGGUAGACGCGCUAGACUCAAAAUCUGGUGGUGGUAACACCGUGCGAGUUCGAGUCUCGCCCUCGGCA
rnacentral:tRNA from 2 species